UACAGAGACCUCAAGCAUUAUCCGGAUUUAUUGGGCGUAAAGGGUCCGCAGGCGGUCAUGCGCGUCGAUGGUUAAAUUUUCGGGCUCAACUCGGAAACCGCUGUCGAAACGGCAUGACUAGAGGGUGGGAGAGGUACGCGGAAUUGCCGGUGUAGUAGUAAUAUGCGUUGAUAUCGGCAAGAACACCAAAUGCGAAGGCAGCGUACUAGAACACACCUGACGCUCAGGGACGAAAGCGUGGGGAG
rnacentral:rRNA from 1 species